GACGAACGCUGGCGGCGUGCUUAACACAUGCAAGUCGAACGAAGUGGCGAACGGGUGAGUAACGCGUAAUCAACCUGCCCUUCAGAGGGGGACAACAGUUGGAAACGACUGCUAAUACCGCAUACUGAAGGAGGGGAUUGCGUCUGAUUAGCUAGUUGGAGGGGUAACGGCCCACCAAGGCGAUGAUCAGUAGCCGGGCUGGGAGGAUGAAACGGCAAAUUUGGAAUUGGACACGGGCCCGACUUCUAAGGGGGGGAGCCAUGGGGAAUCUUCCGCAAUGGACGAAAGUCUGACGGAGCAACGCCGCGUGAGUGAUGACGGCCUUCGGGUUGUAAAGCUCUGUUAAUCGGGACGCGGUACCGGAAUAGAAAGCCACGGCUAACUACGUGCCAGCAGCCGCGGUAAUAC
rnacentral:rRNA from 1 species